GAUGAACGCUGGCGGCGUGCCUAAUACAUGCCAGUCGAGCGAACAGACGAGGAGCUUGCUCCUUUGACGUUAGCGGCGGACGAGUGAGUAACACGUAGGUAACCUACCUAUAAGACUGGGAUAACUUCGGGAAACCGGAGCUAAUACCGGAUAAUAUUUCGAACCGCAUGGUUCGAUAGUGAAAGAUGGCUUUGCUAUCACUUAUAGAUGGACCUGCGCCGUAUUAGCUAGUUGGUAAGGUAACGGCUUACCAAGGCAACGAUACGUAGCCGACCUGAGAGGGUGAUCGGCCACACUGGAACUGAGACACGGUCCAGACGCCUACGGGAGGCAGCAGUAGGGAAUCUUCCGCAAUGGGCGAAAGCCUGACGGAGCAACGCCGCGUGAGUGAUGAAGGUCUUCGGAUCGUAAAACUCUGUUAUUAGGGAAGAACAAACGUGUAAGUAACUGUGCACGUCUUGACGGUACCUAAUCAGAAAGCCACGGCUAACUACGUG
rnacentral:rRNA from 1 species